rnacentral:tRNA from 1 species
GCCGGGAUGGCGAAAAUGGUAUACGCAGCGGACUUAAAAUCCGCCGGCUUUUGCCUUGUGGGUUCGAGUCCCACUCCCGGCA